GCUAUAUAGCCAGUCACCACAUAUUUGAGUAGUAGUGCAGUACACAACUCCGGGAACACUAUUGACCUUGUCAUGUAUCUGAAUGGGACUCUACAGAGUUCACAUAGAAAGCUUGUGAACCCAAACCCAGUCUCCUAAUAUAUACUUAUGCCUCUCAGGAAGUGGACAACAAUUCAGAUGCUUCAGAAUUCAAUGCAGCUUUUUAACUUGGAUAUUUUAUCAUCCCUGACAGUACCAAGACUCAGCUACUCCUGGACCUGAAGUUUGGUUUUCAGAGGUGUUGCAGUUUAUACAAGCUCUAAAAAAGGAGUUAUUGGCCGUGGAGUUUGUCUAUGAUGGAAACCUGAGUCAGCAUCCCUUCACUAAAUAUUUUUGAGGAUUUUUUAUAUCUGCCAAGUACUUUGUAGAUCAUGAAAAUUCACAGGUGAGGUAGAGUCUCCGUCCUUAGAGA
rnacentral:lncRNA from 12 species